rnacentral:rRNA from 1 species
ACGGGUGAGUAACGCGUGGGUAACCUGCCUUGUACUGGGGGACAACAGUUGGAAACGACUGCUAAUACCGCAUAAGCGCACAGCUUCGCAUGAAGCAGUGUGAAAAACUCUGGUGGUACAAGAUGGACCCGCGUCUGAUUAGCUGGUUGGUGAGGUAACGGCUCACCAAGGCGACGAUCAGUAGCCGGCUUGAGAGAGUGAACGGCCACAUUGGGACUGAGACACGGCCCAAACUCCUACGGGAGGCAGCAUG